CAUGGGAGUUGAUUUCACCCGAAAUCGGGAUGCCAAACUGGCUACCGCUUACGGUGGAAUUAGCGACUGGGGUGAAGUCGUAACAAGGUAACCGUAGGAGAACCUGCGGUUGGAUCACCUCCUUU
rnacentral:rRNA from 1 species